AUUUAGUUAUUAUUUAUUUUUAUUUCUAUUUUUUAUUUCUAUUUAGUUAUUAUUUAGUUAUUAUUUAUAUUUAGUAUAUUUAGAUAUUUAGUAUAUUUAGAAUUUAUUAUUUAGCUUCUGAUCCUGAUUCUUGAAAAACCUAUCAUAUCCUUGACCUCCUCCGGACGUACUACUGUCCAGAGCAUGAAUACUACAAUAAAAUAUAGAAAUACGAGGCAAUAUCCACAAGUAUACAGGUCGAGUUGUAAUAUAAUUUUACAAUGAAGUAGGUGAGUCUACGAGGAUCGUACCCAAGGGAGGCGAGUU
rnacentral:lncRNA from 1 species